rnacentral:lncRNA from 1 species
ACUGACUUCCUCUAUUAAGGCAGUUGCAGAAUUCCUUCUGCCUGCGUGAGGGUUCACCUCACAAACUAUGUGUAGUGAUCACGAGCUGAAAAGAGCAAGAUUUAUUCCAACAUGGGAACAGAAAUUGUGCAUUUUCUGGAUUCCCAACUUAGAUUGCCUGGAGUCCUGAUGCAGAGGAUGAACAGCAGGCAAUACUUGGGACAGUCAGCCAUUUUGUUAAAUACUUUAUUGGACCCCAACAUGAAGGAGAAAGCUGAAAAGUUGCCCGGUCCGACAGAAUUUACAAGAAAACAUCUAUUUUCUGUGUUAAGGAAAUUGAGCAGGUGAAGAAGAAACCAUACUAGGAAAGAACUUUCACAAUAGUCUGCAUUUGUAAAUGUUGCUAGUUUUAUUUGACAUAAGCUACGUUUCCGGGGAGAGUGCUUUAAAAUAAUGUGAGAAACUGUCUAGGUUAACAAUUUCAUUUGUUUUCCAUGAAACUUAUUUGUUGACUUAUUUGUUGUUCACAAUGGGGGAAGGGGAAGACAGUUGUGCUCUUUGUAGUGAAUUUUCUGUCAUCAGCAAGAGGCUGUUGAACUUUCAAAGGGAACAAAGUGCCCUUGAGAAGAAGAGCCAGCUCCCUGAGACUGCAGAUACCAAAGCUGGAAUGGGGGCUUCCCAAACACCAGGUCCCACAGCUGACACCUGGACAGCCCAUGUACCUACAGCAGGCUUGUGUAGCAUUCUUCUGUUGAGAAGCCCUGUAUGCUGAUGUACUCAUGCUAUGGGGCAGACAUUGCUUUUGAACCCUAUGCUGCAGGGACUAGCUUGCUGUGGCUAGCAAACCUAGCCACUCAAAGGCUUUAUGAAGUGUGUGUGUGCUGCCCUGGAGCACAGACCUGCCUCGUGGCCCUGAGCUGUGGCACUGGAGUGGCAGUAUCCAUUCCAGCCUUGCCUUGAGUUUGUCCUUGGGCUUAUCCCAUAGAGUUUUUGCUCCAGGGAAGUAAGGGCUACGCUUCUUCACAGUGGACAUACCCUAUCCUAUGUGGGACUAAAAUAUUGCAGCAAAUCCACCCUCCUUCCAAAUGACGCUUCUAAAUGUAUGCUCACAUUUGUACUUGUGAACUUCAAGUAGUAGCAGACUGUGAGAUUUGCAUGUGUGCACACAGCAUGCACUUCCACAUACACACAUCAAACACUGGGAGAAUAAAUGCAUGUGAAACCGUUGUGGUUGAAUCUUGAGCAACUGGUCACAUGCAGAUCAGGUUUUGGAGUGUCAAACUUUCCAGGUCCUCUGCCUUGCACCAACUGUAACUCUACCUCUUUUUCUCAUGGGCAUUAUCUUUUUCCAGCAGUAGAAACGUACAAGCUGUAAAGCCCUUGAUGUUCUGAGCCACCAUUAACCUGUUAGGCAGCUGUCCACCUAGCUUGCUUGUGGGCUUUGGCCACACAAUUUCCUGAAAACUUAUUUCUUGGAUCACUCUCCAGCACCAAAAGGCCGUUAGAAUAAGACAUCCAUCCCAGUGUAAGCUGUCUCCAUAAGGUCAACGCGUUUACCUUGGGGCAAAGGUCUAGUUCUCAAAUCCUUGCUCCUCUUGUCUCAAAGCAAGACUUAGAUUCCAGUUUUCUGACAUUCCAAGAGAGGGCUACCAGCAUCCCUCAAUGGGUCUGGCUCUGUUUUUCUGCUUUAGGUGGUUCCAGCUGGUAGUAGUAUUUCUAAAGAGAGAAAAUGAGCCUGCAGAGUAGAGGUUGGAGAGCUCAGGAGGACUGUGUGAAAGGCAAACUCAGCUCUCUGCUCCCCUGAGAGCAUGCCUAGAGCUACUGAUACAGAGUGGGAGUCUGAGAAAGUGUGGUUUGGGGGCUUAGCUUUGAACAACCAGCUGAUUAAUUAGAAUAUUUUGUGCUGGAGUUCCAUGGAAAU